GUUCCCGUAGCUCAAUCGGUAGAGCGUUGGUCUCCAAAACCAAAGGCUGCCGGCUCGGGCCCUGCCGGGAAUGCCA
rnacentral:tRNA from 1 species